rnacentral:rRNA from 1 species
ACAGGUGGUGCAUGGUUGUCGUCAGCUCGUGUCGUGAGAUGUUGGGUUAAGUCCCGCAACGAGCGCAACCCUUGUCUUUAGUUGCCAUCAUUAAGUUGGGCACUCUAGAGAGACUGCCAGGGAUAACCUGGAGGAAGGUGGGGAUGACGUCAAAUCAUCAUGCCCCUUAUGCUUAGGGCUACACACGUGCUACAAUGGGUAGUACAGAGGGUUGCCAAGCCGUAAGGUGGAGCUAAUCCCUUAAAGCUACUCUCAGUUCGGAUUGUAGGCUGAAACUCGCCUACAUGAAGCUGGAGUUACUAGUAAUCGCAGAUCAGAAUGCUGCGGUGAAUGCGUUCCCGGGUCUUGUACACACCGCCCGUCACACCACGGGA